rnacentral:rRNA from 1 species
AUUGAACGCUGGCGGCAUGCCUUACACAUGCAAGUCGAACGGCAGCACGGGUGCUUGCACCUGGUGGCGAGUGGCGAACGGGUGAGUAAUACAUCGGAACGUACCUUAUCGUGGGGGAUAACGCAGCGAAAGCUGUGCUAAUACCGCAUACGCCCUGAGGGGGAAAGCGGGGGAUCGCAAGACCUCGCGCGAUUAGAGCGGCCGAUGCCUGAUUAGCUUGUUGGUGGGGUAAAAGCCCACCAAGGCGACGAUCAGUAGCUGGUCUGAGAGGACGAUCGGCCCCACUGGGACUGAGAAACGGCCCAGCAUCCUACGGGAGGCAGCAGUGGGGAAUUUUGGACAAUGGGGGCAACCCUGAUCCAGCAAUGCCGCGUGAGUGAAGAAGGCCUUCGGGUUGUAAAGCUCUUUUGUCAGGGAAGAAACACCGGCUCUAACACAGUCCGGGAAUGACGGUACCUGAAGAAUAAGCACCGGCUAACUACGUGCCAGCCGCCGCCGUAA